rnacentral:rRNA from 1 species
UAAGCGGUUGAAGGUGUGUGGUAACGCAUGCUGGACGUAUCAGAAGUGCGAAUGCUGACAUGAGUAACGAUAAAGGGGGUGAAAAACCUCCUCGCCGGAAGACCAAGGGUUCCUGUCCAACGUUAAUCGGGGCAGGGUAAGUCGACCCCUAAGGCGAGGCCGAAAGGCGUAGUCGAUGGGAAACGGGUUAAUAUUCCCGUACUUCUUACAAUUGCGAUGGGGGGACGGAGAAGGCUAGGUGGGCCUGGCGACGGUUGUCCAGGUUCAAGUGCGUAGGCUUAAGAGUUAGGUAAAUCCGGCUCUUUUUAAGGCUGAGACACGACGUCGAGCACCUACGGGUGUGAAGUCAUUGAUGCCAUGCUUCCAGGAAAAGCCUCUAAGCUUCAGAUUGUAAGGAAUCGUACCCCAAACCGACACAGGUGGUCGGGUAGAGAAUACCAAGGCGCUUGAGAGAACUCGGGUGAAGGAACUAGGCAAAAUGGUACCGUAACUUCGGGAGAAGGUACGCUCUCGACGGUGAAGUCCCUCGCGGAUGGAGCUAUUGAGAGUCGCAGAUACCAGGUGGCUGCAACUGUUUAUUAAAAACACAGCACUGUGCAAAAUCGUAAGAUGACGUAUACGGUGUGACGCCUGCCCGGUGCCGGAAGGUUAAUUGAUGGGGUUAGACUUCGGUCGAAGCUCUUGAUCGAAGCCCCGGUAAACGGCGGCCGUAACUAUAACGGUCCUAAGGUAGCGAAAUUCCUUGUCGGGUAAGUUCCGACCUGCACGAAUGGCGUAAUGAUGGCCACGCUGUCUCCACCCGAGACUCAGUGAAAUUGAAAUCGCUGUGAAGAUGCAGUGUACCCGCGGCUAGACGGAAAGACCCCGUGAACCUUUACUACAGCUUGGCACUGAACAUUGACCCUACAUGUGUAGGAUAGGUGGGAGGCUUUGAAGCAGGUACGCCAGUAUCUGUGGAGCCGUCCUUGAAAUACCACCCUUGUAGUGUUGAUGUUCUAACGUCGACCCCUAAUCGGGGUUGCGGACAGUGCCUGGUGGGUAGUUUGACUGGGGCGGUCUCCUCCCAAAGAGUAACGGAGGAGCACGAAGGUGGGCUAAUCACGGUUGGACAUCGUGAGGUUAGUGCAAUGGCAUAAGCCCGCUUGACUGCGAGAAUGACAAUUCGAGCAGGUGCGAAAGCAGGUCAUAGUGAUCCGGUGGUUCUGAAUGGAAGGGCCAUCGCUCAACGGAUAAAAGGUACUCCGGGGAUAACAGGCUGAUACCGCCCAAGAGUUCAUAUCGACGGCGGUGUUUGGCACCUCGAUGUCGGCUCAUCACAUCCUGGGGCUGAAGUCGGUCCCAAGGGUAUGGCUGUUCGCCAUUUAAAGUGGUACGCGAGCUGGGUUUAGAACGUCGUGAGACAGUUCGGUCCCUAUCUGCCGUGGGCGUUGGAAGAUUGAAGGGGGCUGCUCCUAGUACGAGAGGACCGGAGUGGACGAACCUCUGGUGUUCGGGUUGUGUCGCCAGACGCAUUGCCCGGUAGCUAAGUUCGGAAUCGAUAACCGCUGAAAGCAUCUAAGCGGGAAGCGAGCCCUGAGAUGAGUCUUCCCUGAUACUUUAAGUAUCCUAAAGGGUUGUCGGAGACUACGACGUUGAUAGGUCAGGUGUGUAAGUGCUGUGAGGCAUUGAGCUAACUGAUACUAAUUGCCCGUGAGGCUUAACCAU